ACUGAAUAGAUACCCGGGUAGUCCACGCCCUAAACGAUGACAACUGGCUAUAAGGAGUAUCGACCCUCUUUGUGGCGAAAGCUAAACGCGUUAAGUUGUCCGCCUGGGUAGUACGGCCGCAAGGCUAAAACUCAAAGGAAUAGACGGGGACUUGCACAAGCGGUGGAUCAUGCGGCUCAAUUCGAUGACAAACGAAGAACCUCACCAGGGUUUGAAACCCAGACGAUCGCUCUAGGAAACUAGAGCUUCCGCAAGGCGGCUGGGCAGGUGAUGCAUGGUCGUCGUCAGUUCGUGGCUUGAGUUGUUCCCUUCAGUGGGGUAACGAACGCAACCCUCGUUGCCUGUUUUAAAAGUCAGGCGAGACUGCCCCCUCACGGGGGUAGGAAGGUGAGGAUGACGCCAGAUCAGCAUGUCCCUCUGAUAUCCUGGGCUGCACGCAUGAUACAAUGGACGAGACAACGGGUCGCGACGGAGUAAUCCUGAGCUAAUCCUUAGAACUCGUCCCCGAGUUCGGAUUGAGGGCUGCAACUCGCCCUC
rnacentral:rRNA from 1 species